rnacentral:rRNA from 1 species
UACGGGGGGGGCAAGCGUUGUUCGGAAUUACUGGGCGUAAAGGGCUCGUAGGCGGCCAACUAAGUCAGACGUGAAAUCCCUCGGCUUAACCGGGGAACUGCGUCUGAUACUGGAUGGCUUGAAUCCGGGAGAGGGAUGCGGAAUUCCAGGUGUAGCGGUGAAAUGCGUAGAUAUCGGGAGGAACACCUGCGGUGUAGACGGCUAUCUGGACGGCCACUGACGCUGAGACACGAAAGCGUGGGAGCAAACAGG